rnacentral:misc_RNA from 1 species
CAACCCUCGAGCCCCCGGGCUCGGUGUUGGGGACCGGCCACCCCCCGCGGUGGCCGCCCCCGAAAUCCAGUGGCGGUCCCGCCGCAGCCUCCUCUGCGUAGUAGUUAAUACCCUCGCACCGGAGCGCGGCGCGGCCCUGCCGUAAAACCCCCAACCCUUCUCA